rnacentral:rRNA from 1 species
AUUAAUCCAGGAUGGCAUCAUGAGUUCACAUGUCCGCAUGAUUAAAGGUAUUUUCCGGUAGACGAUGGGGAUGCGUUCCAUUAGAUAGUAGGCGGGGUAACGGCCCACCUAGUCAACGAUGGAUAGGGGUUCUAAGAGGAAGGUCCCCCACAUUGGAACUGAGACACGGUCCAAACUCCUACGGGAGGCAGCAGUGAGGAAUAUUGGUCAAUGGGCGAUGGCCUGAACCAGCCAAGUAGCGUGAAGGAUGACUGCCCUAUGGGUUGUAAACUUCUUUUAUAAAGGAAUAAAGUCGGGUAUGCAUACCCGUUUGCAUGUACUUUAUGAAUAAGGAUCGGCUAACUCCGUGCCAGCAGCCGCGGUAAUACGGAGGAUCCGAGCGUUAUCCGGAUUUAUUGGGUUUAAAGGGAGCGUAGAUGGAUGUUUAAGUCAGUUGUGAAAGUUUGCGGCUCAACCGUAAAAUUGCAGUUGAUACUGGAUGUCUUGAGUGCAGUUGAGGCAGGCGGAAUUCGUGGUGUAGCGGUGAAAUGCUUAGAUAUCACGAAGAACUCCGAUUGCGAAGGCAGCCUGCUAAGCUGCAACUGACAUUGAGGCUCGAAAGUGUGGGUAUCAAACAGGAUUAGAUACCCUGGUAGUCCACGCAGUAAACGAUGAUUACUAGGAGUUUGCGAUACACAGUAAGCUCUACAGCGAAAGCGUUAAGUAAUCCACCUGGGGAGUACGCCGGCAACGGUGAAACUCAAAGGAAUUGACGGGGGCCCGCACAAGCGGAGGAACAUGUGGUUUAAUUCGAUGAUACGCGAGGAACCUUACCCGGGUUUGAACGCAUUUGGACAGUCCUUGAAAGAGGAUCUCUAGCAAUAGCCAUUUGCGAGGUGCUGCAUGGUUGUCGUCAGCUCGUGCCGUGAGGUGUCGGCUUAAGUGCCAUAACGAGCGCAACCCUUAUCUUUAGUUACUAACAGGUCGAGCUGAGGACUCUAAAGAGACUGCCAGCGUAAGCUGUGAGGAAGGUGGGGAUGACGUCAAAUCAGCACGGCCCUUACAUCCGGGGCGACACACGUGUUACAAUGGUGGGGACAAAGGGCAGCUACACAGCGAUGUGAUGCUAAUCUCCAAACCCCAUCUCAGUUCGGAUCGAAGUCUGCAACCCGACUUCGUGAAGCUGGAUUCGCUAGUAAUCGCGCAUCAGCCAUGGCGCGGUGAAUACGUUCCCGGGCCUUGCACACACCGCCCGUCAAG